UUUUUUAAUUGGGAACUAGUAUGAAGGGUAGAAACUGAAGGGAUUGUUUUGUUUAAUUAUUUUGAAAUUAAAUUAAAGGUUAAAAUGCCUUUUUAAAUUUUGGGGACGAGGAGACCCUAGAAGCUUAAAAUUCUUUAAAAAUCUUUCAGAGAGCUUUUUAAUUUUGUUGGGGCAACAUUUGAAGAGCUAAAUCUUUAUUGAUUAGAGAUGUUAAGUUAUUGAAGUUACUCUAGGGAUAACAGCGUUAUCUAGUUGGUGAGUUCUUAUUAAGAGCUGGGUUUGCGACCUCGAUGUUGAAUUAAAUUAAAUUUUUGAUGGAGAAGUUAAAAUAUUUAGUCUGUUCGACUAUUGAAAAUUUACGUGAUCUGAGUUCAGACCGGA
rnacentral:rRNA from 1 species